rnacentral:misc_RNA from 1 species
GGAAGUAAAAGUCAUAACAAGGUUUCCGUAGGUGAACCUGCGGAAGGAUCAUUAAUGUGUUUGUGCCUCACGGCUCUUCACUCCGACGCUGUGCGCCUUCGGGCUGCACGCUGAUGGAGCAUAUAUCCACCCCUGUGCACACACACGGUGGCGAGCUGGGUAACGGCUCGCCGCUGAUCUUUACACACGUCUAAAAGUCAUUGUAUGUUUAUUUGAGAUAAAAACACAACUUUCAGCAACGGAUCUCUUGGCUCUC